GCAAGCAAUCUGUUUCAAUUACUACUACUGCCCCAAUCAAAUAGUCCUUUUCAGCUUUCAUAGCUAAAACGACUCCCCAAAGUUCUCUUUUGACUUGCGAAUAUGCACGCUGACGAAUACUUAAAACUUUAGCCCCAAACCGAACUGCAAAUCUAUCCCCACUGGAAUCAUCUUGACCCACAGCCCAUCCAAUGGCAAUUGGACUAGCGUC
rnacentral:lncRNA from 1 species